GGCUCUUUAAAUUUGAGGCCAGCCUGGUCUGUGCAGACAGCUCCAGGCCAGCCGGCGCUGUGCAAUGAAACCUUGUCUCAAAAGCAAAGCAAAACUAAAACUAAGAAAUGAUGACGUCAGUGCAGAGACUUGUAUCUGGCCAAAGUGCUGAGAAGAAAGGGCUGUAAGUCCUCCCUCCCUCUAAACGGGAAAUCUCUAUCAACGCCCUCCCCUCUGAGGCUCACGGAAUGUCAGGGAAGGGGAGGCCGAGUGUAAUUAAGAGGCAGAGGAUGCUAGGAAGCGCAAGGCCCUGGGUUCGGUCCCCAGCUCCGAAAAAAAGAACCAAAAAAAAAAAAAAAAAAGGAGGCAGAGGAUGGGCGAGAGUUGAGCAAUGCUGUCAUCACACGGGCUCUCUGCAGCUGUGGCUUCUGGUCCUACUCAACAGACUCAGUCACCGUCCCAGCAGGAACUGAGUGAGCUCAGUGAGUCACACAGCAAGCACAUCUUGACGUUACGUGUGGCAGUGCCUGCUUGUAAUCUCAGCACUUGAGGAACAUGAAAGAACAGUUCAGUCUCUCUCAGAGUCAUAGGGAAUUUGUGGCAAUCCUCCUCUCCUAGCCUAUGGGAGACUGUCUCAGGAAAAAUGUGUAGCGUAGCCUAGUGACUCACAGACUCACAAUUCCAGCACUUGGAAGGUAUCUGCACUCAGAUCUCUCUGAGCUGGAGAUCAACAGCCUGGGAAUUUACUAUCAUGACUUACGGUUCUAUUAAUCCGGCAAUGGGCAGCUGUGGAUGGGAAGCUGAGGAAUCUAGCAGUUGCUCAGGUGGGCCUUUCAGCUGGUCUCCUGUAGACGCUGGACUCCUGAAACAGUGGGUUCCAACAGAUGUGCUGAUGACCUUGAACUCUAAAGGACCCUGAGACUCCUUGCCUCAGUCUCCUGGGAUUAAGAGCACGUACUACCUUGACACUAUGCCCCAAGAUCUCCAUAUCAAGAUCCAGGUGAGAAACUCGUGUCUUCCAGCCUGAAGAUCAGGAUCGCAGGUGAGCCCUCCAGUUCUGGAUUGUAGUUCAUUCCAGACGUGGUCAAGUUGACAACCAGGAAUAGCCACCACAGCAUUGUGCAGUCAGGCCUUAAACUUUUGAUCUCUCGGAUGUAACCUCACUGGCAGCUAAGGUGACAGAUCUGUACCAGCAGGCCUGGCAGCUGCAGUCAUUUUAAAAUGUACUUUUCUUUCUUUGUUUUCUAUAGAAUUUUCCCGGACUUAGAGAAGGAUUGCAUUCAGGGCUGGAGAGAUGGCUCAGGGGUCCAGAGUCAUAUUUUCCGGGACACAUAUGACGUUGCUGCUUACAAUGUCAGUUCCAGGUGACCCCCACAUUCUUCUGGCCUCCACAGGAACAUGCAUUCGUGCACAUAUUCACACAUGGACACAC
rnacentral:sRNA from 1 species